rnacentral:hammerhead_ribozyme from 1 species
AUCCACCUAACAAGUCCCAAAUAGGACGAAACGCGCGUCUUGGAU